rnacentral:rRNA from 1 species
CGGACGGGUUAGUAACGCGUGGGAACGUGCCCUUCUCUGCGGAAUAGCCACUGGAAACGGUGAGUAAUACCGCAUACGCCCUUCGGGGGAAAGAUUUAUCGGAGAAGGAUCGGCCCGCGUUAGAUUAGAUAGUUGGUGGGGUAAUGGCCUACCAAGUCUACGAUCUAUAGCUGGUUUUAGAGGAUGAUCAGCAACACUGGGACUGAGACACGGCCCAGACUCCUACGGGAGGCAGCAGUGGGGAAUCUUAGACAAUGGGCGCAAGCCUGAUCUAGCCAUGCCGCGUGUGUGAUGAAGGUCUUAGGAUCGUAAAGCACUUUCGCCAGGGAUGAUAAUGACAGUACCUGGUAAAGAAACCCCGGCUAACUCCGUGCCAGCAGCCGCGGUAAUACGGAGGGGGUUAGCGUUGUUCGGAAUUACUGGGCGUAAAGCGCGCGUAGGCGGAUUGGAAAGUUGGGGGUGAAAUCCCGGGGCUCAACCCCGGAACUGCCUCCAAAACUAUCAGUCUAGAGUUCGAGAGAGGUGAGUGGAAUUCCAAGUGUAGAGGUGAAAUUCGUAGAUAUUUGGAGGAACACCAGUGGCGAAGGCGGCUCACUGGCU